AACCCAUGGUGAUGGCACCUCCUCAAUAGAUCCUUAUAUCUUUCCCAUGCAUCAUAGAGUGUUUCUAAAUCAUCUACACAAAAGAAGAAAUGUCAUUCCUUAAUUU
rfam:Gossypium arboreum cultivar AKA8401 contig_57110_1, whole genome shotgun sequence.